rnacentral:rRNA from 1 species
UGCGCAGGCGGAAUGAUAAGUCAGUGGUGAAAUCUCCCGGCUCAACCGGGAAACUGCCAUUGAAACUGUCGUUCUUGAGUACAGUUGAAGUGGGCGGAAUGUGUCAUGUAGCGGUGAAAUGCAUAGAUAUGACACAGAACACCGAUAGCGAAGGCAGCUCACUAAACUGUAACUGACGCUCAGGCACGAAAGCGUGGGGAGCAAACAGGAUUAGAUACCCUGGUAGUC